UAACUGUUGAACAUGUAACAAGUUUAUUAUAAAGUGCGCUUUAUGUUGUGUUGUAUCACAAAAGAGAGGCGAAAGAUACCAGAGGGACAGUCACACUCGUAGAUCGAAAAUAAACUGACAACUCGAUGGCUAAAAAAGAAAGAAAAAAAAACAGACAAAUAAUAGCCAACAACACACAACAUAGAAAGUAAAGACUAAGCAACACGAACCCCUCCAAAAACUGGGGGUGGUCUCAUGUGCUCAGGAAGGGUAAACAAACCCUGUUCCACAUGUGGCACCCGUCGUGUUGUUCAUGUUAUUACAAACCCCGUAAAUAGUCUAAUUCGGUAGGUCCCAUUCGUGAAAAGGGAAGGGG
rnacentral:lncRNA from 1 species